rnacentral:lncRNA from 10 species
UAAUUACUUACUUGUCUAUCUUCUUGAUUUGACUAUGGUGCUGGAGGGCACAGACUGUCUUUAACUUGUUUCCCUAUGGAUUUGCAAGAGGUCUAACACAACAAAUGGAUACACUUUCUCUUCAGUGAUCUCUACCUUAUGUCUGCAGGAACCAGUUGUUUAAUGGGCAGACACUGGGACAGUGGACAAGAAACGUGUGUCCAAAAUGUCGUGCUGGACACGUGCAGCCCCUCUGAACAACUCUUAAGAGCUAUUGCUGAUCUUGUCCCGCAACCCUGAUCGCAAAAACUAAAAGGCAUCUUUGUAAGUCUCCAUGCAUAUACUGCUCCAUUUUCCCAGCCUCCUACUGCCAACUCAGUGAGCGCUGCAUGUGGAUCACCUUUCCUUGCUUCAAAUCCUCCAAAUACACAAGAACUGUGGCAGAGCACUGGGAAUGUUUGCCAACUCCUGAGUUUAGGAAGUCUGAUCUGGGCUUUGUCACAAAAGGAGAGGGGUGCGGUAGCUCUGGGGUGCCAAUCAAUUGCAAGAGGACAGCUAAUGUUCUUGGGAGAUGACUGGCCCCCUAAGGCCAUUUGUCAAGCAGGAUGAUUAUGAUUAAAUAUAACUCACCAGUCUACAAGUGGCCCUCAGACAGCAGAAAGUAUCCAGCAGGACAUUGCAUGUCACGAAGCAGCGCCAGGGUAGUGGACAUCAACAGUUCUGUCCAAUUAAUCCUUGGAAGCACAGUCAGAAUUAAUUGGGAACUUGUUGAAAGUUGAUCGACACCUUUGGAAAGGUGAAAUCCUUUUCUGUUCCCAUUAAGUGUUGUUAAGGCCAUUAGCAGAAAUUGGAAUAGAGAAAUAUGACCUUUCAUGUGGUAGAUUCAGAGACUGAGAAGAUGGACGAGAUGGAAAUGUACUGGCAGCUUAUAAUAAGCACCUGGGUGGGGAGUGAUAACUAAAGAUUGAAAAUUGACAAAUGGGUUAAACUGGCAGAGAUCAAGACAGAGAGGGAUGGGGUGCAGUUUGCAUGCAGAGGUGGUGAGAGAAAGGAAUGAGAGCAUCAAUAAUCCAGCAGGGUCGCCCAUGCUGAGGGUCAGAUAUGGAUUACUCAGAAGGUAGGCAAAAUUUGCUAGGUGGGAGAGUAGGGAGAUUUGGUUACAAGAUGAAGAGAUCAAUUUAUAGCUGUUGAGAGGAGUAAAUGAUCUAGUCCUCCCCAGGGAGUUAGGAUACCACAGAUAAAUACUCCAGACUAAAAUCAGGAGGUCUGAGACAUUUGUUUAUUCAGUUGCAAAGUGACUGAAUGUCUCCAACCCUCCCCUUCCCACAGUUGGUUAUGUCCUUCCAAGUGACUAACGUGAAAUUUCUUUGAAAGCCAUCAAGCUAUACAGAUGUAAGGAAUUAUCAUCAUAAUCAUCCAACUGAAUCAAGUGCAAAAGAAUAUUGCUAUAAGGAAAUAUGUGAGAUUUUAAUUAUUUCCUCUGAUGGAGUAGAACAUGUUUGCAGAUAAUCUUGAACAGCAACAGUGCCCGAAUGAUUUAUCUUGGGCUUUACAGCCACACAUCAUGAUAUUUUGAUGGAGGAAGGUCCGGAGUUGUGGGAUGUGCAUCAACAUGCAAUUUUCCCUGACAUUUUGCAUUGGCUCAGAUUAUGAAGCCCUGACAGUGGGAAGAAAUGGACCACCAGAAAGUAGUUCUUAAAUUACCAGGAGCGCUGUUUGCUGCAGAGACACUCCAGAAUCUUCAAGUUAGGCGCAGCACGUGAGAGUUGGCAGUUUUCCACCCACCGACCUGAGUUGCUGUGGUUAGAUGAGGGCUUUCUUGCAGGAUCCACCAGAGGCUGAGGCUUUGGGUCACAGUUAUCAUUAGAAUGUUGUCUCUUUGCCAGGUCCUAUGCUAAGCAUUUUACCUGCACCAUCUCAUUUAAUCAUCAAAACUACUCUGUGGAGUUAGAUACUAUUAUUGUCUUCAUUUUACAGAUAAGGGAACAGGAUUAAAAAGAUUAGUAACUUAUCCAAGGUCACAUCACUAGCAAAAGACAAAACUUGGUAUUAAACUCAGGCAUUAGCUCCAGAGCCUGUGCACGGAACUGCCAUACAAUACUGCCAUGCGCAUAUAUGAAUAAGCCUGAGAAUCUGAGAAAGAAGGAGAUGUGACCUACCUAAGGCCACUCAACUAGUUAGUUGUCCCAUAUACCAUUUGUUUUUGUUGUUGGACCAGAUCUAGUAUGCUCACAGCAAAUGAAGAAUUUUAAAAUUUCCAUUUUAUAGAUGUAGCUCAGUUCUAGUAAUAAUGAUGAUGACAGUAACGACAACAGCAGUGGCAACUAAUAUUUACUAAACAUCUGUUUUUGCUGAGCACCGUAAUAGCUACUUUAUGUAUACACUCAUUUAUUCAUUUAUUGAAAAAAUGUUUAUUGAGAGCCUUCUAUACACAAACAAGUGUGUUCACACAAAAGCUUGUACACAAGUCGUUUACAGCAGUAUUGUUCAUAAUAGCCUAAAGGUGGAAAAAUUCCAAAUGUCCAUCAACUAAUGAAUGAAUACAUGAAAUCUGGUAUAUUCAUGCACUAGAAUAUAAUACAGCCAUAAAAAGAAUGAAAUACUGAUACAUGCUACAACAAGGAUGAACCCUGAAAACAUUAUGCUAAGUGAAAGAAGUGAGACACAAAAAGCCAUAUGUAGUAUGAUUCAAUUUAUAUGAAAUAUCCAGAAUAGGCAAAUUUAUAUAGAGACAAUGAAUAGAUUAGUGAUUUCCAGGAUCUGGGGGGAAGGGGCAAUGGGAGUGAUUGCUAAUGGGUAGGGGCUUCUUUUCAGAUGUGACGAAAAUGUCCUAAAAUUGAUUGUGGUGAUGGCUACACGUUUCUGUGAAUAUACUAAAAUCUAUUAAAUUUUAGACUUUAAAAUUGUGUGGUAUGUGAAUUAUAUAUCAAUAAAGCUGCUAAAAAAAG